rnacentral:rRNA from 1 species
AGAUUGAACGCUGGCGGCAUGCCUUACACAUGCAAGUCGAACGGCAGCACGGGGGCAACCCUGGUGGCGAGUGGCGAACGGGUGAGUAAUAUAUCGGAACGUGUCCUGUAGCGGGGGAUAACCUAUCGAAAGAUGGACUAAUACCGCAUACGAUCUACGGAUGAAAGCGGAGGACCGCAAGGCUUCGCACUAUAGGAGCGGCCAUAUCGGAUUAGCUAGGUUGGACGGGGUAAAACGCCCACCAAGGCGACGAUCCGUAGCUGGUCUGAGAGGAUGAUCAGCCACACUGGAACUGAGACACGGUACCAGACCUCCUACGGGAGGCA